CCUACGGGGGGCAGCAGUGAGGAAUAUUGGUCAAUGGGCGAGAGCCUGAACCAGCCAAGUCGCGUGAAGGAUGACGGCCCUACGGGUUGUAAACUUCUUUUGCCAGGGAGCAAUUGAGUCCACGUGUGGGCUUAGCGAGAGUACCUGAAGAAAAAGCAUCGGCUAACUCCGUGCCAGCAGCCGCGGUAAUACGGAGGAUGCGAGCGUUAUCCGGAUUUAUUGGGUUUAAAGGGUGCGUAGGCGGAAUAUCAAGUCAGCGGUAAAAAUUCGGGGCUCAACCCCGUCGUGCCGUUGAAACUGGUGUGCUUGAGUGGGCGAGAGGUAUGCGGAAUGCGAGGUGUAGCGGUGAAAUGCAUAGAUAUCACGCAGAACACCGAUUGCGAAGGCAGCAUACCGGCGGCCAACUGACGCUGAGGCACGAAAGCGUGGGUAUCGAACAGGAUUAGAUACCCGAGUAGUC
rnacentral:rRNA from 1 species